rnacentral:rRNA from 1 species
GACGAACGCUGGCGGCGUGCUUAACACAUGCAAGUCGAACGGAAAGGCCCUGCUCUUGUGGGGUGCUCGAGUGGCGAACGGGUGAGUAACACGUGAGUAACCUGCCCUUGACUUUGGGAUAACUUCAGGAAACUGGGGCUAAUACCGGAUAGGAGCUCCUGCUGCAUGGUGGGGGUUGGAAAGUUUCGGCGGUUGGGGAUGGACUCGCGGCUUAUCAGCUGGUUGGUGGGGUAGUGGCUUACCAAGGCUUUGACGGGUAGCCGGCCUGAGAGGGUGACCGGCCACCUUGGGACUGAGAUACGGACCAGACUCCUACGGGAGGCAGCAGUGGGGAAUAUUGCACAAUGGGCGGAAGCCUGAUGCAGCAACGCCGCGUGCGGGAUGACGGCCUUCGGGUUGUAAACCGCUUUCGCCUGUGACGAAGCGUGAGUGACGGUAAUGGGUAAAGAAGCACCGGCUAACUACGUG